rnacentral:lncRNA from 1 species
GUCAAUGUGACACAGUGUGGCUCAGGGCCACAGAAGACCCAGGCAAACCUUCACCUAAAUCUGCUAGUUAAGCGAUGAUGCCAGGAUGCCCAAGAAUUGCAAAGUUCACCAGCACACUCGAGGGAGAGAAACAACAGCGACAAACUCCAAGGAACUACAGAGGCAGAGGGAUGUGGAACCCAGGACGUAGAGGGGGCAGAUUCGUGUUCCCCCCAGGGGACCCUGGGAACCACGACCCUGCAGCCAGGUGUGCUCAGAGGAUAAACAGG